CUUCAGGAUAACUCUAAAUUGUGGUGACUGGUACCAGCCCCAAGGAUCCACUCUGCCAGCUGAGAAACACAGAGGCGCAGAAGUACGCCAUUCAGUUCCGCAUCUUAUCCUAGCAAUGCUGUCUGAGGCCAUGAUCCUUCAAACACCCACAUAUUAAACCCCCUGUGGAAUAUCAAGUCUGACUAUAUCAACUGCUAACAUGUGACUGAUGGAUGGGUGAUCUGUUCUUGCAAACUGGGAUACCAGGUUGCAGCUGUUGAGAAUGGUGGGGACAUUUGUGUGGACACAGAAACUAUAUGAGAUGGCAGUUACUGCAUCCUCAGGCCCUGACCAGAGGGAUAUGAAUGCCGAGAUAUGGAACACUAUCAGUUUGAUUGCAUCAGAGAAGCCCUUUUUGUGCCAAACUGAAUGCAGUUUUCCAUUGUCCCAAACUGGAUUCUGCCUAUUCACAUUGUCAAACUUCCACUGGAAGAUAAGAGACAUCCCCACCACCAACUGAAUCCUGG
rnacentral:lncRNA from 1 species